GGCCAGUUAGCUCAGUUGGUUAAAGUGUGGUGCUGAUACCACCAAGGUCCAGGGUUCGAUUCCUAUACUGGCCU